CUCGGUAUUACCCGCCGCUCUGUUUCGAACGGUGAGGGCUUCACCGAUAUGAGCCGGUGUUUCCGCGGAGGAUUACUCCUCCGGGGGCCAAUCGUCGAUUAGCCAUGCAGCACCUGUGCUGGUACCCGACUCUACGGGUCGCCGACCCUUUCGGGUGACUACUGCCAGCAUGUCAAGCCCUGGUAAGGUUCUUCGCUUUGCAUCGAAUUAAGCCACGCGCUCCGCCGCUUGUGCGGGCCCCCGUCAAUUCCUUUGAGUUUUAGCCUUGCGGCCGUACUCCCCAGGCGGGGUGCUUAAUGCGUUAGCUGCGGCACGGAAGUCUUGCGACCCCCACACCUAGCACCCACCGUUUACGGCUAGGACUAC
rnacentral:misc_RNA from 1 species